rnacentral:lncRNA from 1 species
CGAAAAGAGGAAGACUCCAUUUGCUUAUUCUCACUCCCAGUCUUACCCUGCCAGCUCAGGGAUUUCUAAGUAAGGCUAAAUCUGGAUCUUGUUUACAGGAUUUGGCUUUUUUUUUUUUGUUUUUGUUUUUUUUUUCGGAGCUGGGGACCGAACCCAGGGCCUUGCGCUUCCUAGGUAAGCGCUCUACCACUGAGCUAAAUCCCCAGCCCCAGGAUUUGGCAUUUCUAAUUAAUGCUUAUGUUUAGGUAAAUAAAGCUGGUGAGGGGCUAGAGAGAUGGCUUAAUGGUUAAGAGCACUAAGUACUGUUCCUUUAGAGGCCAUUUAAUAACUCAAACUGGAUUGCCUGGACCCCUUAGCAAGGGAGGACAAUGAUACCAGGCAGAUUAUAGGCCUUACAUAGGAACAAUUAGUCAAAAAAUCUCAUUCUUUAUAUAACCAAAACAAUAAUGCUGGAGACAAUAAUUUGGUAUACAAGUCAAUUUAUAAAUGCAAGUGCUCAGUGUCCUUAAUUUAAUCCUUGAGGACUUAUCUUAAUAAAUAAUAUCUUAACAAUAUCUCAAUAAAUAAAAAGGGGGAGUUACAUCCCUGUAUGCUAUACAAUUAUUUAAUAAUACUCCUUUUAUUUCCAAUUUUAAAAUCUGUAUGCCAAGGAAUACUCUGAGUAU